CGUGUGGGGGCCGGGCCUGGAACAAACAACCGAGCCAAUAGGGUGCUGUGGCGGUUGUGGGGGCGGCGGCCGCGGAGCAGGAGAAGGAGCGGACCCCGAGCACCAGGCCCUCUUCAGCCUGGGGUCCUGGGUGAAGUGCUCUACUGCCCUUGCCUCCAGGAAAGUACAUGAUGGUGAUGGGAGUGGUACAGGCCUACAGCCCCGAGCCACACCUGCAGGCUGUGAAGAUGAGACUUUUCUGAUAAUCCCAUCCAUGAAGGAGGCUCUGCGGCCCCCGAAAGACGACAGCUCCCUUUCUGCUUCGGACACUACUCAGACAUUUAGACACUGCUCUAUUCAUUUCCCUCAGCUAGAGAAGGUGAUACCUUCUUCCAUCACUCAGAUGUUGAGACAUUUUGGGAAUUUCUUGUUGAAAUGAAAAACAUCAAGAUUAAGGAUGCCUUUUAGGCUUUGGUUAAACUUCCGCUUCAUAACUUUGGGUGAGACACAGCGAGCCUCCUGGUUUUGAGUUCUUUUGUCUUUUUGUAUGGAAUGACUUGGCUGUGAUUUGAAUAUUGGGUUUCUGCUGUCUGCUUAAUACCCAUGCCUGAUUUUUUGAGAUUGUACAUAUCAAGGGAGUUAGAUUAUGUUCUGAUACACAUCUAGAUGUGUAUAAGAGACAGCUUUUACAGAAAACUGUUAAGUGAACAAUAGUACAGUGGUACCUGAGUGACUGAGGUGUGGGUACUUGCUUUUCCUUGAUAUUCUAGAGUAGAGCUGUGCUGUCUAAUGUGAUUAGGCUAUAUCAGUAGCCUCAUGGAUCUACGGAGUACUUGGAAUGUGCUGGUGUGACGGGCAGGGUGGCCAAACUCAGUAAAUAAAAGUUUAGGAUACCUCCUCCAUCAGUGUGGGCUGUGCACAGUGAGUUCCUUCCAGAACGGAAGGGGGAUAAAAGAGUAACUUUACAGUGGCAAAACCUGGCAGACUGCCCCAGCCAGCCAGCCAAGGUUAACGUAAAGCAAUACAUCACAUUAAUAGCACACCUGGGUAAGACACCUGAGGCCCUGAGGGGCCAGGACUUAGAAGCUUCAAAUUCCACAGCCACUCCUCUUCUCACUGCCCUCAGGUGGCUCCUGCAGAGACUAGUGACAGUGCCCUAAGGGGCCUAUAGGAGCCUCAUGGGACCACAGGAGGUCUUGAGAGGCAUGUGAGGACUUGGCGUUUUUGGUAGGUAUGACAGCUGGGGUUGGUGCUUGAGACCUCUGGUCAGAGCUGGUAAUGCUGUGUAAUGAAUUGCCACAAACUUAGGAACUUAAAAAAAAACAAAUGUAUUGGCUGGGUGCAGUGGCUCACACCUGUAAUUGCAGCACUUUGGGAGGCCAAGGCAGGUGGAUCACCUGAGAUAGGGAGUUCGAGACCAGCCUGACCAACAUGGAGAAAUCCCAUCUCUACUAAAUAUACAAAAAAUUAGCUGGGUGUGGUGGUGCAUGCCUGUAAUCCCAGCUACUUAGGAGGCUGAGCAAGGAGAAUCACUUGAACCUAGGAGGCAGAGGUUGCAGUAAGCCAAUAUCGCACCACUGCCCUUCAGCCUGGGUGACAAAGCAAGACUCCAUCUCAAAAAAAGAAGAGCCUUGUUAAAUUCCUCCCAUGUGUUGAUGCACUUGCUGUAAUAUUUAUUCCUGCUAUUAUGAGUCACCUGCUCCCAGGGCUGCCCUGCCCAUUGUGAGACCUCUUCUGUCUUCCUAAGUGUGAGAUAGUGUUUUCCCUGCCUUUACCACAUUCUCUGUCCCUCUGGCUGGUGUCAUGGCCCUUUAAGGAAAGUGAGCACAUUGGCUCUGGGAUCUUGGUCUCUGCAGUUUGGCAGCAGGCCCUGACUUGUCAUGAGAAAUAAAUGUCAGUGGGAAAAAUCUUUUUUAUUUUGAGAUGGAGUCUCUCUCUGUUGCCAGGCUGGAGUGCAGUGAUAGAAUUCCAGCUCACUGCAACCUCCGCCUUCCAGGUUUAAGCCAUUCUCCUUCCUCAGCUUCCCGAGCAGCUGGGACUACAGGCACGUGCCAUCACGUCAAGCUAAUUUUUGUAUUUUUUAGUAGAGAUGGGGUUUCACCAUGUUGGCCAGGAUGGUAUUGAUCUUUUGACCUUGUGAUCUGCCCACCUUGGCCUCUCAAAGUGCUGGGAUUACAGGCGUGAGCCACCACCUCUGACCGGGAAAAGUCUUUUUAAAGAUGCAUGCAUAUCUCAACACAAACGUCAUUGCACCUGUUGAUGUAUGCCUUAAGAAGCCUGAGGUAGGGAAGUUUGGUAGGUGGAAGUUACUUUCCAUCUCCUUUCUCAUAGCAUGGCACUUGGAAGAGAAGAUUUUGGCUUUAGCGUUUUGCUGUGAGCAUCCUGUUUAUUCCAUGGUCAUGGACCUUUAGUACCAAAUUUACUUGAAAACCUUGUGAAAUUAUUUAUGCAGAAAGAAAGAAUGAGGAAUCUUGGGUAAUGGGAAAGCAACAGGCCAGUUUUGCAAAGACUUCAACAUGGGUGGUUUAUAACUAGUUGGAAAAACAUGUCUCAUCUCAGCUGAUGUAAUCCUUUUUACAGUGCUGGGGGCCUUAAGUUUUCUCAGAAGGUUGAAGGAGCAUAAUCAGCUCCCAAGGUGGUCAGCACAGUGACAAAAAAUGACAAAGGGCUCUGCCUGCCUCUGAGGGUCCUUCAGUCAUGGCCAGCUCUGUCUAGGGGAGCAAAGACCCUGUCUGUCCUCUGCCUUCCUGGCUAUGGCAGGGUCAUGGGGUUGGGAGAGCAGAGCCUGGGCACUUGUUCUGGCUGGAAACUUAGCCUUUGAAACAAGGUUCCAGAGGCAGUUUGUGACCCAUACAGGAGAAGGAGAUGGGCAAUGUGGAUGCUGUCAGAGCGAAGGGUCCCAAACUGUCUGAUUAUAGGCACAGUGUUGGGUCCUUAUGUACUUUUACAAAGUUAUUUUCAGAGACAAGGAAGUCAGUGGACCCACUUUCUCUUCCUCAUUGGAGUUCUCUGGAAAAGAGUGUUCCCAGGGACAGAUGAUCUGAUGGUGUCAUGGACUCACCAGUGUCCUUAAGAGGGAAAGCUCUGUCAGCAGAGGGAACCUCAGCCCCGGCUGAUCACACAGGCUACACUAGGCUGGGAUCUGCAGACACCAACAGCCUGCCCUAAGGCUCCCAAGUCAGACAGGCCAGGUGGGU
rnacentral:lncRNA from 1 species